GGGGCUGAUUUAGGAUUCGACAGGAAUUUUGAAGUCUGAGGUGCAUGCCGUGGGGCGGUUGGCCACGUUAAAAGCCGCAAAAAAAUAGUCGCAAACGACGAAAACUACG
rnacentral:tmRNA from 1 species